rnacentral:rRNA from 1 species
UACGUAGGGUGCGAGCGUUAAUCGGAAUUACUGGGCGUAAAGCGUGCGCAGGCGGUUCGUUAAGUUUGCGGUGAAAGCCCCGGGCUCAACCUGGGAAUGGCCGUGGAAACUGGCGGGCUGGAGUGCGGCAGAGGGGGGUGGAAUUCCGCGUGUAGCAGUGAAAUGCGUAGAGAUGCGGAGGAACACCGAUGGCGAAGGCAGCCCCCUGGGCCGACACUGACGCUCAGGCACGAAAGCGUGGGGAGCAAACAGG